rnacentral:tRNA from 1 species
GCCGAGCUGGCUCAGCCUGGUGGAGCGUCGGACUCAUAGGGUUCUGGUCAACAGACCUCUUCCAGGGAAAUCCGAAGGUCAAGGGUUCGAACCCCUUGCUCGGCA